GUGCUUACUUCGGCAGCACAUGUACUAAAAUUAGAAAGAUACAGAGAACAUUAGCAUGGUCCCUAUGCAAGGAUGACAUGCAAAUUCAUGAAGCAUUCCAUAUUUUU
rnacentral:snRNA from 1 species